AGCGGUGGAGCAUGUGGUUUAAUUCGAAGCAACGCGAAGAACCUUACCAAAUCUUGACAUCCUCUGACCCCUCUAGAGAUAGAGUUUUCCCCUUCGGGGGACAGAGUAACAGGUGGUGCAUGGUUGUCGUCAGCUCGUGUCGUGAGAUGUUGGGUUAAGUCCCGCAACGAGCGCAACCCUUAAGCUUAGUUGCCAUCAUUAAGUUGGGCACUCUAAGUUGACUGCCGGU
rnacentral:rRNA from 1 species